CGUCUAUAUACGUAUAGCAUAUCAAUAAGCGGAGGAAAAGAAACUAACAAGGAUUCCCUUAGUAACGGCGAGUGAAGCGGGAAGAGCUCAAAUUUGAAAUCUUCAAGGUUCUACCUUGACGAAUUGUAGUUUAUAGAAGUGUUUUCUGUUAGUGGAGUGGCAAAAGUUCUUUGGAAUAGGACAUCAUAGAGGGUGAGAAUCCCGUAUUAGGUCAUUCCUCCUAGCGUUGUGAUACACUUUCAACGAGUCGGAUUGUUUGGGAAUGCAGUCCAAGAUGGGUGGUAAAUUUCAUCUAAAGCUAAAUAUUGGCGAGAGACCGAUAGCGAACAAGUACCGUGAGGGAAAGAUGAAAAGAACUUUGAAAAGAGAGUUAAACAGUACGUGAAAUUGUCAAAAGGGAAGCGUUUGACACCAGUGUUGUUUUUCCGAAAAUCAAUUACGAAUGUUUUAUUUUUGAGGAGUUAUGACUUCAUCGGCUUGCUCCUUUCUUUAUGAAACUUUCUUAAUGCACUUUUCGGUUAACAAGUCAACAUCAAUUUCUUUUGUUGUAAAAGGGUAUGAGGAAGGUGGCUUUCUUUUCGGAGAAAGUGUUUAUAGCCUUGUGCCUCUGCAAUCGGAGAGAUUGAGGUCUGCAGCGUAGAUCCUUCGGGGUUAGAUACAUUUGUGCUAAGUUAUAGUUCUUUAUAGACAACUUGUUGACUAUAGUCUAGUCCUGUAGCUUACUCGCUGAUGCUAUUUUACCUACGCUUAGGAUGUUGACGAGACUGUCGAUCUC
rnacentral:rRNA from 1 species